UUAGGAUUCUUGUUGGCAUUUUUCUUCUCCUGGAGUUGAAAGAGCAAGGACAGGUUGAACUAAAGAAUAUGUCUUGCACAAACAGGCCGGGAUGGGGGUGCUUGAGGAGGAAUGUAUAAAAGUCUACAAGCAGGAAGGGUGUACUGGUCUUUUUGUGGCAGUUCAUGCUUGAAUUUCAGAAAGCUGAAUUGUCACUUGUUGGGACAAUUUCAUGGAAGGUUGAAAUAGGUUGAUAUUAUAGAAUGUAGAAAAUGCCAGUGCUUCCCUUGAAGAUAGGGAUACUUAUUAAGCAUGACAGGUGAAGUAAUGAGGCCAAAUAGCCCAUGGAAUGUUUACUUGGAAGCAUUGAUAGUACAAGUAAGUUUCUUUUCAGGCAGUUGUUUGGUACUCUAUGCUUUCUAUGCGUUGUGUAUUGCUCAGCUUUUUUACCUUCUGUUUUGCUGUGCCAGCUGCUUUUUAGUGAUACAAUUGAGUUCUGUUCCUAAAUUUAAAACCGUACUGUGUGUAUGGAAAAACUCUGCAGAGCUUGUGCUCAGUGUUUACUUGGAAAACAGGAGCCAGAGGGUAAGUGUGGAGAGUAACUGCUCAUAAGGAAGUACAUGAGGUUUGAGGUGGAGGAUAAUUUUGGCUUUAGCAGUUUGUUUUGACUUCCUCUGUUUUCUUCAUGAUAAAAUAAGGAUUUCUUUUUUUUAAGCACUGUGGAAGAGCUCUUUAAUUGCUGCCCAGUCAUAAUACAUAUAAUGUUCUUUCCUCCUGAGCACCACAAAACUCAGGAACCAUUUAUGGCCUGGAAUGUGUCAUCUGCUCAUGAGUCAUCAAGUUCUAAUCAACACUAGUACUGCCAGAGACAUCUGGUUUGCUUCAUUCUCUGAAAAAACAGCUGCCCUUCUUCUAAAUGGACUUUGGGGACAGAAUGCUAGUGAAGAGGAUGAGUAGAAGUUCUCUUAGCUUUUCUGAAAGGUAGCAUUUAAUGCCCUGUAACAGACAAAUAAUACCUUCCAAGACAAGAGCAGCCCUGGGGAAGCAGCAGUCAUACAGCACUGUUUUCACCUGAGCUUCUGGCAUAGCUUACCAGGCAGUCCAUAGGCUGUUGUGAAGCGUGCACAAACCCCCGCUUCUGCAGGGUUGCUCUUUUCUACUUCUUGACAUGGCAGAUGUUGGAGGUUAAUUUUUCACAAAUGGGAUGGGACUGCUGGGUGACACAUCACGAGCUUUUAUUUCAGGCACCAGUCUCAGCUGCAGAUACAGGAGAUGGCACAAGCUCACGUCUGCCACAAGCAGCUCAAGAUCUCUUUGUUACAGAACAUUUUAUCAUUUUUUCAGCCAAUAGCAUAUUGCUAAAGCUUACAAACAGUUGUUCUAUCCAAUCACUAGAAACACACGUAUGCCCUCUUCAAACAAUACUUGCUUGUUUGCUUUCUAUUAACAAUACACAAUACUCUGCUAUUAAGCAUAAAACUUUAUAUUAUCUUGGUAAGAAGGAUUUUCUGCAUUCUUAAGGUCUAUCUUGGCCAAGCCUUAGAACUCAAUUAUUGUUUCACAUCCUUGCAUAUUGUGUUAUUGUAUUUCUUUACUUUCAGGCCUUGCAGCUGCAGCUAUCUCUAAGUUCUCUGCUUUUUCUUUCUGAUGCCCAUUUUCACAGCUUCUGAAAGUGUUAUUACCUUUACUGUUUCCCACAGGCAGGUACCUUUGUAUGCUCAGAAAUGGUGUGGGUACAAAGUGGUGGAUCAUACUAUCAGGUUGCUUAGAAAUGACCUAGUCCUAAGAUGCUUUUGUAUACCAACAGUUAGAGGCAUUGAAGACAGAGAUCUCUGGCUUUGAGGCUGGAAGAUGGCAUAGGCAGUCAUAAGACUGUAGAGAGACUGAAAAGAGACACAACAGAAAUUAUGAGAGAUGAAAUUUUCAUUUUUGAGUUUAGAAGAAUAUGAUUGUGUUAGUUCAACAGCACAAAUGAUUAUGCCUAGUAUAUCUGGAACACUGUCAGUCCAAACAAAGUAGAGCAAGAAGAAGUAGCAAGCCAGUGAAGCAGGUCUGGCAGGUGGGAGCAAAAUAGAACUAUGGAAGAGAAUACUGAGGGGAGAUUGAGAUCCAAUGCAGAAGAGUUUGCAAUCUGUGGCCAUUGCCUGGAAGACCCUGAGUAUUUAGAUGGAGCAUCAGUAGUUUUGAUGUUGUGCACUCCUGUUUUGUUGGACAUUUGUUGGUUGGUAGUUGGGGGAAAGCUGUCUGUUCCCUGAAGAAGUGUCCUCUCUUCUGGCAGUGAUGUGGGUUUAUGUCUUUACAUGCAUAUAGAAGUAAUGUUACUCUUCUCACUUUUGUUGGAAGUAAUGCCACCUAACUGCUAAGGUGCAGGCUUAAGUUUUGCACUUGAUUUCAAAUUAAGGAAACCUUUGAGGUCACCUCUUCAAUAGUAUUUGAGUGUAAUCAAUUUCAAUGCUGUUCUUUCGGUUAAAAAUUAAUUCAUAAGCUAUUUUGAAUGCUGGAAUCUCUUUGAGAGUGGAUUACUUCUCUUUGGAUGAGUUACAGACGUGCUUUUACCCAGCCUACUGGUGUGUAAACUAUAUUUUGUUUCUAUAAGGAGUAUUAGAAUUUUGGUAGUCUCUUGAACAUGACGUACAGAAUUGAAAAAGUAACAACUAUGAGCUUUUAAUUUCUCCUGUUGUACCCUGGGAGAGGACACUGAAAUAGAAGAUAUGACCAGCUCUAUACAUUGUGCCAAACUGUCCUGCCUUUGUAACAGACUUUUACACAGGCAGACCUUGGGGGAAAAAAAAAACAAGUGGUAAUACUUGUUUAACUGUAUAUUACCUUGCAG